rnacentral:tRNA from 1 species
GUAGCAUUAGUGUAAUGGUAACACAACAACUUCACAAGGUGAUAUUAAUGGUUCAAAUCCGUUAUGCUACA